rnacentral:rRNA from 1 species
AGAGUUUGAUCAUGGCUCAGAAUCAACGCUGGCGGCGUGCCUAACACAUGCAAGUCGAACGAGAAAGUGGAGCAAUCCAUGAGUAAAGUGGCGACCGGGUGAGUAACACGUGACUAACCUACCCUAGAGUGGGGAAUAACCUCGGGAAACCGGGGCUAAUACCGCAUAACAUCGCGAGGGGAAGAUCCUUGCGAUCAAAGGAGCAAUUCGCUCAAGGAGGGGGUCGCGGCUGAUUAGUUAGUUGGUGAGGUAACGGCCCACCAAGACAGAGAUCAGUAGCCGGCCUGAGAGGGCGCACGGCCACACUGGAACUGAAACACGGUCCAGACUCCUACGGGAGGCAGCAGUGGGGAAUUUUGCGCAAUGGGGGAAACCCUGACGCAGCAACGCCGCGUGGAGGAUGAAGUCCCUUGGGAUGUAAACUCCUUUCGAUCGGGACGAUAAUGACGGUACCGGAAGAAGAAGCACCGGCUAACUCUGUGCCAGCAGCCGCGGUAAUACAGAGGGUGCAAGCGUUGUUCGGAAUUAUUGGGCGUAAAGGGCGCGUAGGCGGUGCUGUAAGUCUGUGGUGAAAUCUCUGGGCUCAACUCAGAGUCUGCCAUAGAAACUGCAGUGCUGGAGUGUGGGAGAGGUGAGUGGAAUUCCCGGUGUAGCGGUGAAAUGCGUAGAUAUCGAGAGGAACACCUGUGGCGAAAGCGGCUCACUGGACCACAACUGACGCUGAUGCGCGAAAGCUAGGGGAGCAAACAGGAUUAGAUACCCCCGUAGUCC